rnacentral:tRNA from 1 species
GGACUCGUGGCCUAAUGGCAAGGCACUCGACUUUUAAUCGAAGAGAUGAGGGUUCGACUCCCUCCGGGUCCA